GAACUACCUACAACAUAUUAAAAUUUUUUUGCCCCAUAUAAAUAAUUUUACUGAGUUAAAUUAAAUAUUAUAUUAAAGGCACCAUCUUGGUAGUUUUGCUGAAUAUGUUGGGAUGUAAUCAAUAAUUUUUAAACAAGCACUUGCUCUCUUGAUCUCUUGAACAAGAAGACAUAUUUCAAACAUGAAAAUGCCACAGUCCACAGAGCUGCACAAUUGAAAUCUUCAUGCUUUAUAGGCACCUUAUAAAGGCACCUUGAAGCCAACACAUCAGCCAACACAUUGAUACCAAUGGCAACAUUAUUAUGACAUCAAUAAAAACGGCUUAAACAAAUAAAAAGGUCUACUGCACAGUUCUUUCUAUCAUGUACACAGCAGCAACAUGAAGCAGCAGUAGCAACAUAACUGAGAUUUGGAAAACAACAAAUUUCACUUCUCUAAACUUGGUCCAGUGGUUUUCCUAGCAGCUCAGACCCCAAAAUUUUUCACUAAAAUUUCAGAGCACAAACAAGAUGGAUAAUCCCGAAUAACUUUACU